rnacentral:rRNA from 1 species
GACGGGGGGGGCAAGUGUUCUUCGGAAUGACUGGGCUUAAAGGGCACGUAGGCGGUGAAUCGGGUUGAAAGUGAAAGUCGCCAAAAAGUGGCGGAAUGCUCUCGAAACCAAUUCACUUGAGUGAGACAGAGGAGAGUGGAAUUUCGUGUGUAGGGGUGAAAUCCGUAAAUAUACGAAGGAACGCCAAAAGCGAAGGCAGCUCUCUGGGUCCCUACCGACGCUGGGGUGCGAAAGCAUGGGGAGCGAACAGG